rnacentral:lncRNA from 1 species
AAGAGUGGUAAGGGAAGACCUAGAAUUUCCCUGGUAAGACUAGAGUUAUGGAAACAGCAGAGCUCCCAGCAGACCAGACAUCUCUGGGGUCACUAUAGAACUAGAAGUUCUUAGGAAGAACUUGUCAAUUUUACCAUGUCUGGGUUUCACAGCUAUAGUGAUGCAAUCUUAUAGCUGGAAUCUCUCUUUAUGUGUAGGUAUAGGGUGUGGGCUAGCCUACCUAAUGCUUCUAGAUUUUCUUGCUUAUAUUCCACUGACACCUUUUAUGUUUAAACAAAUUUUCAAUGAAUGCUAAGGUGACCAACUAUUUCAAUGUGCAUGGGGUUUAGGGAGUUCUCCAGAUGUCAGACAUUCAGCGCAAAAAUCAAGGAAGUUCUGAGUAAAUCAGAAUGAAUUAGUACCCCAAGAAUGCUGACUUUGUACUAAGCUCUUCUGUGUUAUGUGAUCACAUUACUCUUUAAAGCAAUGCCUUGAGGUAGAUACUGUUAUUUCAAUCUUAAAGAAUUUGUAAAUAAGAGAUGAAGUGAAUUUCCCAAGGCUACUUAGUGCUACAGCUUGGAUUUAAUUUGGGUUGCCUGCUUUAAAACUAGUGUUUUAGUUAUCUAUUGCUACAUGAUAAAUCAUUCCAAAACUUGCUGGCUUAAGCCAACACUAAAAGAUUAUUAAUUCAUAGUUUCUGUGAAACAAAAAUUCAAGAGCAUCAUAGCUGGAUGGUUCUGGCUCAGAGUCUCCCAUGAGGCUACAGUCCAGGUGUCAGCUGGGGCUGCAUGAUCUGAAAGCUUGACUGGAGCUGGAGGGUCUGUUUCCAAGUUAACUCCCUCACAUGGCUGUUGGCAGGAGACCUCAGUUUCUCUCCAGGUAGCUCUGCUGUAGGGCUGCCUGAGUAUCUUCACGACAUGGUAGUUGGUUUCCCUCAGGGUGAGUGACCCAAAAGAGAGACAGACACCACAAUGCCUUUUGUUGCCUACCUUUAGGAAUCAUGUAUUGUCAUUUCUGGAAUAUCCUAUUAGUUUUACAGGUCAGCCCUGCUGAGUGUGGCAGGGAACCACACAGAAGGUGAAUACCUAGGGGCAUCCUAGAAGCUGACUAUCACAGCCAAUGUGUGUUUCACAAUUCCACAGCUGCCUUUAGGCCCUUCACCUAAAGUAGGCAUUUAGAGAGCAGUCUGUAGGAUAAGACAUUGAACAUGUAUAUCCUAUGAACACACACACACAUGAACAUUCAUUAUAUAUAUAAAUACCAUUAUUUAUAAACUCAAAUGACUGUACUUUAAAGUAAUCACUACCUUGGUAGGCUAUAUAUUUAUCCUAAUGAUGUUUCCAUUACACCAAAUAUUUUUUAGUUGGUCACUAAUAGACACAAUUAUAUAUAGAAUUUAUAUAUUCUAUUGUAUGUAUGAAUAUAUAUGCCAUUACCUGGAAUUCAAAUGAGGGAAACAGUGGGGAAUGUAGGGAAGUCCAGAGCCCAGGGAGGCCAAUGACAAAACUCCAGAUGGUAGAUAAAUGGGGAAUACUUGGAGUGGAUUUUGCUCAGUCCUUGCACAGUGCUGCUAGCGGUCCCUAUUAAUUUAAAGGGCUGGAAACCCAGAAUUUCAGAAUCUUAGUUACUAUGUUUGUAAAACAAAGGAAGAUAGUGGCACUUGUGCUUUCAACUCCAUAGAGCUGUUGCAAAGAAACAAACAUGAGAAACUAUGUGAAAACGCCUGCAAAAGCAUAAAGUCUUAAGACUAGAGGAAGGUGCUACUGUCACCGUCAUUUUAGCUGUUAUCUCUGGAUGUGUGCCAAGACCUCCUACAGGGCAGGGUUGGGGUUCCUAGAACCACGCACAACUGCUGCUUUGCAGCCCCUGGGAGCCUUUUUUGAGGAGCAUUAGCCACACGUCUUGCUCCAGUUGUCAGACACCUUAGCCACUGUGUUUUCUUAAGCUCUGCUUCCAUGUGCUGCCUGGAAGUGCAUGGUUCUGUGGGUGGAAACAAGGCUGUCGGCAGGGUUCUUUACUCAUGUAUGCUUUCUUAUGCCUGGAUGUAAGGACAGAGGAAGCUAGGUGUGCACAAGCCCUGCCACCUAGCGCUGGUGUGUGCACAGAGCCGGCAUCCGGCCACAGAGGCUCCUAAGGAAGCAAGUACAGAUGCUUCCAAAGGCAGUAAAUGGAACAUGCACAUAAAUCUGUAACACUGUUUUCACAUUCCUUGCCACACUACCAAGGCCAAAAACAGGAAGAGAAUUGGGUUUCUUGACAAACAUUUCUUUUUCGCUCUUUUUCUUAUAAAAUUAUCCCCAACCUGUCCGAAGGGUCUGGCAGCCAUUCAUGUGUCAAUAACAGGCAGUUUUAUGGGGAUGGCAUGAGCAAAUGCCCUGCUAAGCUUUUCAGCUCUGUUCGAAGAACGAGUUGCUGCUUAAUGAAGCACAGCUGAGAACCUCCAACUGCCUUCUGAGGACUCCCAAAUUUUAUAUCUCUAUAUCAGACUAUUCUCCUGUAACCCAAAGAGUGGUGUGCUGGAAAAUAUUUAACCACCAAUUCUCCAAAGAGAGGGAAACCCACCCUGAAUUGUAGUAUUUGCCAAUUUCCAUGGUGUAAAUAUUCUAACCAGGGCCAAUAUCAAGCUACUGACGUGGUAUCACUGAAUGAUGCAGAGCAUGUGUGAGCUGGCUACAGUAUCCCUCUGGAUCCAAAUGCAUCCUUUCCAAAAUGAGUAUGUCAAAAUCAACUUGUGCAAAAUAGAACUAACAAUCUCUCUCUACCCCACACUCAGCCUUGUUUCCUUCCAGGGUUUCCUAUCUGAGCGUGUGGCACCGCCUCACCACCAUUUCCAGGCCGUCACCAACGUCUAUUAAUUUUACUUCCUGAAUAUUCACAAUCUAUCCACUUCUCAUUAUUAUCAUUAUUAAUCACUUGGAUGUUAUCAUUAUUAAUCACUUGGAUUAUUGCCAAAGGAUAAGUGUUUCCUUGUAUCCACUCUUUUUUUUUAAAGUUUAUUUAUUUUGAGAGAGAGAGAGAGAGAGAACGAGCAGGGGAGGGGCAGAGAGAGAGAAUCCCAAGCAGGCUCCAUGCUGUCAGCACAGAGCCUGAUGUAGGGCUUGGACUCAUAAAGCACGAGAUCAUGACCUGAGCCAAACCAAGAGUCAGACGCUUAACCGACUAAGCUACCCAGGUGUCCCAUUCUUGUAUCAACUCUUGCACACACAUGCAUUCAACCCAUCUUCCUAGUAUUGACCAGUACGAUCUUUGAGAAAUGCAGUUCUUAGAGCAUCAGUCCUCUGCCUACUUUCAUGGCCUCCAUGGCUCAGGACUGCAAUCAAAAUCCUUAGCCUGCAAAGACGUGGAGGAGUCUUGCCUGUCCGUUUAGCCUAAUCCUGGGCUUUUCUGGCCCUGUGUUCUUUGCUCCAUCUGCCCUCGCCAUGCUGGCUGUCUUUCAGUUUCUCAAACAUGCCAAGCCCUUUACCAAUUCAGACCUUUGUACAAAGUGUUCUUUUUGCCUGGAAUUAUUUGGUCUAACCAGCUUUUGAUUCUUCAGUUUCAGCUAAAGGUUUUUAAAAAGGCCAUCUGAAAACUUCCAAUUUGAAAAGAAUCCUCUAUUUUUCUCUUCCAUAACAUCCUGUUCUUGGUUUACACUCCCAACAUCAGUGUAUGAUAGUCCCAUUUUUGCUUCACAUCCAAGCCAAAAUUUGAUAUUAUCAAACUUGAAAAUUUUGACAAGAUGGUAUAAUGGUGUCUCAUUGUGAUUUUAGUUUGCAUUUCCUGAGUUUAGGCAUUUAAAAUUAUGUUUAUUUCUCAUUUGGAUUUUCUGUUGUGUGCAAUACCACUUUGAGUUCAUUGCCUAUUUUCCUAUUGGGUUGUCUUAUUUUUAUUAAUUGCUAGUAAGAUCAUUAUAUAUUUUUUGGAUAGUAGAGUUUGUAGGUUAAAUGUGUUGCAAGUAUUUUCUUCCAUUCUUUGCUUUGUGUUUUCACUCUUUUCAAGGUGUCUUUUGAUGAAAAUAAAUUUUUUAACUUAAGAGUAUUAAAUAUUUUAUAUUUCUUUUCAUUGCUAGAACUUUUUGUAUUUUCAAGAAAUUCUGUUCAUAAGGGUCUGUUGGGUUUUUUUUCUGAAAAAGUGAUUAUUUUCUUAAUUUGACUAGGUAAAGAAUUUAACUAUGGCAGUAAUUUUCUUUCUGUAUAUUAAUAAAUUUUUCACUCUUUUUUGCUUUGUUUACUGCUGAUAAGAAGUCAGGCUUCAAUAUAAUCCCCUUCCCAUGAAAGUUUCUGUCUCUUUUCCUUGGUUUACAUUUAAACUCUUCUCUUUGUCUCUGCCGUUUUACAGUUUUAUGAUGUGUCUAUCUUUUUAUCCCACAAGGAAUUGAUUUGUCUUCCUUAAUCUGAGGUUUGGUCUUUCAACAAAUCUGGAAAUUUCUCAUUCACUGUCUUUUAAAUAUUGCCUCUUCUUCCUCUCUUUUCUCCUCCUGAACUCCAAUGACACGUAAGUGACACCUUUUCAUUCUCUCUUCCACCUUUGUUUCUCUGGGAUGAAGAAUAAUUUCUUCAUUUCUUACUUUCAGCUUGGUAAUUUUUUGUUUAGUGUGCUUAACUUGCUUUUUAACAUGUCUAAUGAAAAGUUAAGCUUAGUUAUUAUAAUUUUCAUUUCUAGAGGUUUUACUUUAUAAAUUUGCUUGGUCGUUUUAGAAACUCUAAAAGAAUAAAACAUUUACUAAAAUGUUAAAAUACCAGUUUUAUGUUGUUUGAUAGUUUCCAUAUUUAAAAUCUUUACCUGACCUAUUCUGAUUAUCUAUCAUCUAUCUAUCACAAAGAUGUGCUACCUAUACUCCUCUUCAAGGAAAUAAUUGAUGCCCAGAUGUGGGAAGAAACGAGGCUCAGCAGGCAGCCUCCAUUUGCAGAGAGCUGCCUCACCAAUGGCAAUGCCAUACUCAAAGUAACCUGUAUCUGGAGACUGAGUGAGGGUAUGAAGGCCUGGCCAUUUUGGCCCAGUGUAGGAUGAUUCUGAUGGACAAUACUCUUACCAGUGCUCUCUGCUGGGGCUGGACGAGGUUUUGUCAGAGCUACACAGCAGUUCUACUUCUCCUUCUGUCUAAUCUUGCUUUCUCUCUCUUUUCUUCACUGUUGUUGAUCCUAAUAAACAUAUUUUGUAUCUGAAGUUUUGACCUGGCAACUGGUUUCACAAAACCCAAACUACAAUGUGUGUGUGUGUGUGUGUGUGUGUGUGUGUGUGUGUGUUCUGCUUCUUACUCAUGGUACCUUGUCUCCUUCUGUGUUUUUUGUUUCUUGAAACAUUUUCUGUUGGAAUUCUUUGAGAUUUGUUUUGAGGUUGAGUUCCUUUUGAGAAUAUAUGAGAUUUCUUCUAUCAGUUGCCAGCGGGCAUGACCAAGUUGGGACCAGUUUAAGUGAAAUUAUCUGUGUUUUUUUUAAACUGACAAAAGUAGUAUGUAUUAUUUACUAACUCAUGUGAGUGGAAUUGACAGUAAUUAAUUAAAUAAUAGACAUGUUCAAAAUAGGCAUAUCCCUUACUUUCCCUUUCUGUGCUGGGUUUGUUUCCCAUUCACCUUUAUACUAAGUUGACAUUAUAGGCCCCACCUUAUGUAGUAUUUCUCCACCUUGGGUGUGCUGAAGUCUUAAUUUCCUGUUUCUCAUGCCACUGUGUAACUCUCCAGUGGAAAUGAAAGGUCAUCAGAGUUCAGUACAUAGUUUCAGGGUGAAGGCUGGUUUGGAUCUUGCUUACUCUCCAUGGUUCCAGUCUCAGUGUUUCACUUUGGAACUGGAAACUCAUGGUUUCAAGUUUCAUAGUAAGAUAGACUCCUCACUUUACUGCCAGGAUGCUGAUUCAUUAAAUUGUUAUUUUCUUUUGUUUCAUAUUUAUCCAGACUUCACUUAUUUCCUUUUCUGAACAGGGAGGCUGAGUCAUUUAGGGUUUCUAGUCCACCAUACUGAUGAAAAUAAAUGUCUGGAUUCAUGUUUAAGAGGACCUUACAUAAGACAGCUCCCAGUAGGGCCAAUAGGGCCAGUAGGGUCCCAACAGAGAGAGUCUGCAUUGACUGGAUCAUCAGAAAGGGAAGUUGUAAGUGGCUAAACAGAGGAAGUAAGUUUUCCAUGAGUGAUCCACAGUUAUGAAGAACAUCACUGAUGAAUCUACAAAUGCUUUCUGAGAAUAAUAGUUUUGAAUGUACCCAAAGACUAGUGGUAGGGUGAGAAGAUGAAGGCACUAUCUGUCAAAUAAGCUCUUCUCUGGUUCUGCCUUUACUUUUUCCCUUAUAUUUUAUUUGAUGAGGGAGCAGAAGUGGAAGCAUUAAGCUUGGAAAUAGAGAAAAGAGAUCCCUCACCCCAAGGCCUCAGGACACAGCUGGGAGAGGGAAGCGGCCUUAAAUAAAACCCAUGAUUACUACAGGAACAAAAAAACCCCCACAAUUGCCAAAAGGCGACUAUUCUUGUUUAGUUUCACAAUUCAACAUGAGCAGAUAAACUGUGGUGUUUGCCCAAUAUUCCACCCAGGCAAGGACAAGAACAAACUCCACAGAACAGGUUGGAACAAAAGGGGUGGAGAAUAAAGAUAUUUCCUGGCAGAACCUGGUGAAUCUGCUCUUUUAACAUAGAAACUACCUAAAAUUCGUACUAAAUGUCAAAUAGUUGGAAGGAAAUAUGAGUUCAUGGUGUCGUUGUUAUUUAGGUAAUAGGGGUUUGAAUGCACAUACAUGUUGUUGGGAAUGAAACAAUAUAGAAGGAGGUAUUGAAGGGAAAGGAGGGGGAGGAUAGUCAUGGGGGAUGGGGACAGGAUCUAGAGCACAGGUGAAAGUUAUUAACCUUUGAUGAUGAAGAGGGUCAUCUUCUAAUUUUAAAAGGAAGGAAGAAAAAGGAUGGGAAUGCUUACAGAUUAAAUCUAUAUGUUCCAGGGCAGAAAUUUGAGGGAUUUCUGAUCUGAUGCCUUUUCUCUUUGAAGUGGGGACAGAGUUGUUUUUUGAGAGUGAAUGAAGGCCCAGGCAUUGGGUGAUGAGUUUUAGGCAAGUGUGAGAAAGGGCAAGUAGGAGGAUGGUAGAAUCCACUCUGGGCCCAACCAAGGCUGGAAAUCAUGACUUUAUAGUGGAACUCAUCUGUGCCAUUGCACAAUUUCUUCCAACAGCCUAACCAGCUUGGAUGCAGGACAGGAAGGGCACAACUGAAUGGUCUCUGUGCAGAACACACUAAAUCUUUCUAGGGUCCAGAAUGCCCAGUCUUUUGCAUAGAAUCUCUUUCUCCCUGUAUGAGGAAAAACAUUCCUGUGUUUCUCAUCUCAUCUCACAACAUUACAACAUUACCUCCACACUUCACCUCUGACACCAAUGUGUGGAUUUUCCACACAUCACGCAAUUCCUGACACCAGCUGGGUGUCUCACAAAUUAAUUCUGACACUCAUAUCCCACCAGUGGUUAAGGGCUCAGUCCCACAGAACUGCUUCCACCCCUUGCACUUCAGGUGCCAAUCUCAAGUCCCCUGUAUUUCUGUCCAACUGGCUAUCAAUUGGGGUUCCUGUGACCCCUUCACUGGGUUUGAUAAUUUGCUACAAUGGCUCACUGAACUCAGGAAAAUUCUUAUGUUUACUAUAAAAAGAUAUGAUAAAGGAUACAGAGGAACACCCAGAGAGAAGAGAUUUGUAGGGCAAGGCAUGGGGGAAAAGGUAAGGGUGUUUGUGCCUCCUCCAAGCAUACCACCCUCCCAGUACCUCCACAUCUUCAGCAGCCUGCAAGCUCUAAGAACCUUGUGCUUUAGGGACUUUUAUGGAGGCUUCAUUAUGUAGGCAUGAUCCAUUGUUAACUUAAUAUUCAGUCCCUCUUCCUUUCCUAGAAAAAUAAGGGUUAAGGCUGAAAGUUCCAAGCUUUUAGUCAUGGUUGGGUCUUUCUGGUGGCCAGCUUCCAUAGUGAAGUUAUUCAAGAACCCACCAAUAUCUCCUUACUAGAGCAAAAGAUGUUCCUGACAUCCAGGAAAUUCAAGGGAUUUAGAAACUCUGUGUCAGAAAUUGGGGCCAGACACCAAGGUAUAGAUGUUCUAUUAUUUCACAUACACUCUUCCCUCUCUCCCCACACAAUUUCCCUAUUUUGAGACUUAUUCUUCUAAGUUUUAAUUCAAUCAGAUAUUUGUUUUUCUUAAUUACAUCCCAGUACUAUGACUUGAUUGAGAAUGUUUCUUGACCUUUUUCUUGAAUCCAUAGAUUCUAGAAUCCAUAGAAUCCAUUUCUUAGAGUGAGUUAUUUCUGAGCUUGACAAAACUGUUCCAGUAAGUAAUCAUUCCAGCUAAUUUCACCUCAAAGAUUAGUAAUCUCAAAAUUUGGGAAGCAUCUCACAAUAAAACUUCUAUAUGUUGACUAUAGGUGUAAGGAAAUAAAAAGACUAAAUAAACUUCUCAAUGGUGGUACUGUAGCAAACUCCCACAUUUAUCAGAGUCACGUGGACACUGAUGUAUUUAGGAGAACACAGAUUGCUGGAUCUUGCUCUUAGAGUUUUGUACUUAGUUGUUCUGGGAUAGAGCGAGAGAAUAUGAAUUUCUUCCAAGUUCCCAGGUGGUGCUGUUAGUCUGGGAACCAUACUUAGAGAACUGCUGUGUGAAAUAAUGAGACAGAUGACAAUAAAUCUUCAUAAUAAUAAUGAGAUAGUACUCAUCUUUAAUCUAAACAAAUGUACUCAAAGGCAAGUUUAAAAGGAACUUGAUCUAAAGGAGAGCUGGAUUCUUUAAUUUCUCUAAGAAGUGUUCUGCUCACUCAUUUCUAUGCUGCAGUUAUUUAAUCAAGUCUAUAAGUAAAGAAAGAUGGAGGAAACAAGAGAAUAUGAGACCCUAAAGGUGUGAAGGAUGCCAUCAGAAUUGAGCCAUCCCAGCAUCCCAUCCACAAAGGUGGAUGAAAAAUGGGUAAUAGGCUUUCGGUGGCAUCUUUAUGUCAAUAUUAUGGAUUUUAACGUUUGAUGAAAAUAAAUGUUACAAUAUCUUAGUGACACAAAAAACAACCAAAGACAUGUCAAAUAAGUACUAUUUUGAUAUUGAUAAUAAAAUGAUUAAGGUCACAAAAAAAUCAAAACACAUCCAAACUUCCAAAGCAAAUGAUCUAGAAAAUUUCUGAAGUAAUGGACUAAGAACAACUGUAAUAAGGUACUGGGGCAGGUGAUUUGCCUACAAGUUCCUUGGAAACUGUCUAAAUUUUGUCUUUUGUCUCAAAACUCAUGUUUGCAAUCACAGGUACUCUAAGAAGGUGAUCCUAGCUUUUUUUGCUGAGUGAAAUUUGUACUCUAAAAGGAGGUUAGAAUACAAAUAAGAAUAAAAUUAAAGAGGCAAAUAAAUCCAUGAAUUAAAUCUUUGGUAAACUAGUCUGAGUGUAAAUUCAUUGAUCUGUUUUGUAUUCAUUGUAAUAAUGUGUCCCUCUAAAAAGUUGUUUUUAAGUUUAUUUAUUUUGAGAGACAGAGAGAGAGAGAGAGCACAAGCAAGGAAAGGGCAGAGAGAGAGGGAGAAAGAGAAAAUCCCAAGCAGGCUCUGCACUGUCAGCGCAGAGCCCGAGGCAGGGCUGGAACCCAUGAAUUGCAAAAUCAUGACCUGAGCUAAAACCAAGAGUUGGACUCUUAACCAACUGAGCCACCCAGGCACUCCAAUGUGUCCUUUUUUAUGUGCUCAAAACAUUGAAAAGACUUAUAUCCAUGAAAUCUUUGGAAGAGUCUGUUUAAUUUUUGAUAUCAAUCAUUUAUUUAAAUGUUCAUGUUCAGAGGAGUCAAGUUUGUUAAAUUUAUAACUUCAUAUUUAAUAUUUAGUAAUUUAGGUUUUUAUUUAGUAGUUAAGUUUAUGGAAAUAGUAUGUAAAAUGUUUAGAGCAGUUUUGUUUAAAAAAUAAUCAAUAGACAAUUAAAAAGCACAAACAGUGAUCAGAAUAUUUUCCUUUCCACACGUAAGAGCCACUGAGAUAUUGGAGAAUUUUCAGCAUCAAACAGACUGGCCAGUUGAAGAGCCAAGUAAUUUCUUUUAUAGAGAAAAAGGUAUUAUUUAUUGAAUACAGAAUGUAGUAUGCUCUCUAUUUAUCAAGGCAUUUCUCUGUUGACAAAUUUUUGUUGCUGUGAUACUCUUCAAGUUCUGUCUGUCUAUACUUUUCACAUAGCUCACUGCUGAAUUUGUAAUUCUUUUCUUUUUUCAAAGAGGGCUUUAUUACUUAUUACCUGUGAGCAUUUUUUCAGUUCUAUAAGAUAAUAAAUGAGCCACACAGUCCCUGGAAUCCUGUAAAGGCAUUUGGCUUGGAAGAUGCUCCUUGGUUAUGUGCCAAUAAGAAUGGAUUACAGGGACGACUUUCAGUUAGUCCAAAAUGAGCAACUUGAACCUUUACUGUUUAAUUUCUGCUUGAUUAUUGAAAACUGGCUCAACUUCAGUUACAGGAUGAAGUUUAUGAAAAGGAAUUUCCAUGUUCAAGAAAGGAACUAUGGCCACUGAAAGGUUCACAGUAUAAAAACUGAAAAGGAAAAAAAAUUCUAUCUUAAACAGAUUUUAUUAAUUGUCGAUUAUUAUUUAAAAAUAGUUAAUGUAGUUUCCUACCUUAUCAACCUGUAUCAAGUCACUGAAUUGACACACUCAUUCUGGGAAGCUGGUUGGCAGGCAAACAUGGAAUUUGCUGGCUCAUAGCUUGGUGAGAAAACCAACAGAUAGAUGGUAAUUUUCUUCUGUUUUAUUUUCCUCUUUCUUCUCUCAUUUUUCUUUCCUCUUGCCCUUCUCUCCAUUUACCCACUUUCUUUUUUGCCUAUUGAAGAUUUAUUGCCUUUCAGUACUUACAGAUGAUGUUUUCAUAGGCUCUAAUGAGGUCCCAGCAGUUUUUAACAAUAACAGGACAUUACUGUUUCUAAGAUAUAUUAUGUGUUUUCCCUCAUCUUUCUCCCUUGAAUGAAAAGCUUAGAAGUAUGUUAACCCCCAAUUCCCUUUCCUUUACUAUGAUAAAUGGUCUAGUUACUUAAUAGGGCUAAAUACUUUGCUG